rnacentral:tRNA from 1 species
GUUUUAGUAGCUUAAUAUAAAGCAUCGGUCUUGUAAUCCGAAGAUAGGAGGUUAAAUUCCUCCCUAAAACC